AAAACUUGGGGAACAUCAUAAUACGGUGGGAGUAGUCAUUUGGUGUCUUUUGACUGAAAUCCAAUGGCUAAAACUAUGCAAUACACUAACCACUCCAUUUCGGAACGAACUUCGUACGAACCUGAAUUGUCUAAUUUCAUGGAACAAUCGAUAUCGGAUUGGGUCCAAACUUGGGGAACAUCAUAAUACGAUGGGUGGAGUCAUUUCUUGAGUUUUUAAUGAAAUCCAAUGGCUAAAACUAUGCAAUAAACCACCCACUCCGUUUCAUUACGAACUUCGUACGAACAAAAAUUGUCCAGCUUCAUGGACGAAUCGAUAUUGGAUUGUGU
rnacentral:lncRNA from 1 species